rnacentral:rRNA from 1 species
GCGCGAAAACUUUACAAUGCUGGCAACAGCGAUAAGGGAACCUCGAGUGCCAGGUUACAAAUCUGGCUGUCGAGAUGCCUAAAAAGCAUUUCAUAGCAAGGGCCGGUCAAGACCGGUGCCAGCCGCCGCGGUAACACCGGCGGCUCGAGUGGUAACCGUUAUUAUUGGGUCUAAAGGGUCUGUAGUCGGCCGGAUAAGUCUCUUGAGAAAUCUGGCAGCUUAACUGUCAGGCUUUCAGGAGAUACUGUCUGGCGCGAGGCCGGGAGAGGUGAGAGGUACUUCAGGGGUAGGGGUGAAAUCUUGUAAUCCUUGAAGGACCACCAGUGGCGAAGGCGUCUCACCAGAACGGACCUGACGGCAAGGGACGAAAGCUAGGGGCACGAACCG